rnacentral:rRNA from 1 species
GACAGAGGAUGCAAGCGUUAUCCGGAAUGAUUGGGCGUAAAGCGUCUGUAGGUGGCUUUUAAGUCCGCCGUCAAAUCCAGGCUCAACCCUGGACAGGCGGUGGAAACUACCAAGCUGGAGUACGGUAGGGGCAGAGGGAAUUUCCGGUGGAGCGGUGAAAUGCGGUAGAGAUCGGAAAGAACACCAACGGCGAAAGCAACUCUGCUGGGCCGACACUGACACUGAGAGACGAAAGCUAGGGGAGCGAAUGGG